CCCCUAGAUGUUCUGGGCUGCACGCGCGCUACACUGAUGCACUCAACGAGUUUACGACCUUGCCCGAUAGGGUUGGGUAAUCUUUUUAAAAUGCAUCGUGAUGGGGAUAGAUUAUUGCAAUUAUUAAUCUUCAACGAGGAAUUCCUAGUAAGCGCGAGUCAUCAGCUCGUGCUGAUUACGUCCCUGCCCUUUGUACACACCGCCCGUCGCUCCUACCGAUUGAGUGCUCAGGUGAAUAAUUCGGACUGCAGCAAUGUUUGGAUCCCGAACGUUGCAGCGGAAAGUUUAGUGAACCUUAUCACUUAGAGGAAGGAGAAGUCGUAACA
rnacentral:rRNA from 1 species